GAUGAACGCUGGCGGCGUGCCUAAUACAUGCAAGUAGAACGCUGAAGGAGGAGCUUGCUCUUUCCGGAUGAGUUGCGAACGGGUGAGUAACGCGUAGGUAACCUGCCUGGUAGCGGGGGAUAACUAUUGGAAACGAUAGCUAAUACCGCAUAACAGUAGAUAUUGCAUGAUAUUUGCUUGAAAGGGGCAAUUGCUCCACUACCAGAUGGACCUGCGUUGUAUUAGCUAGUUGGUGAGGUAACGGCUCACCAAGGCGACGAUACAUAGCCGACCUGAGAGGGUGAUCGGCCGCACUGGGACUGAGACACGGCCCAGACUCCUACGGGAAGCAGCAGUAGGGGAUCUUCGGCAAUGGACGGAAGUCUGACCGAGCAACGCCGCGUGAGUGAAGAAGGUUUUCGGAUCGUAAAGCUCUGUUGUAAGAGAAGAACGAGUGUGAGAGUGGAAAGUUCACACUGUGACGGUAUCUUACCAGAAAGGGACGGCUAACUACGUG
rnacentral:rRNA from 1 species